rnacentral:rRNA from 1 species
GAUGAACGCUGGCGGCGUGCCUAAUACAUGCAAGUCGAGCGAACGGACGAGAAGCUUGCUUCUCUGAUGUUAGCGGCGGACGGGUGAGUAACACGUGGAUAACCUACCUAUAAGACUGGGAUAACUUCGGGAAACCGGAGCUAAUACCGGAUAAUAUUUUGAACCGCAUGGUUCAAAAGUGAAAGACGGUCUUGCUGUCACUUAUAGAUGGAUCCGCGCUGCAUUAGCUAGUUGGUAAGGUAACGGCCUACCAAGGCAACGAUGCAUAGCCGACCUGAGAGAGUGAUCGGCCACACUGGAACUGAGACACGGUCCAGACUCCUACGGGAGGCAGCAGUAGGGAAUCUUCCGCAAUGGGCGAAAGCCUGACGGAGCAACGCCGCGUGAGUGAUGAAGGUCUUCGGAUCGUAAAACUCUGUUAUUAGGGAAGAACAUAUGUGUAAGUAACUGUGCACAUCUUGACGGUACCUAAUCAGAAAGCCACGGCUAACUACGUG